rnacentral:rRNA from 1 species
GAUUAACGCUGGCGGCGUGCCUAACACAUGCAAGUCGAGCGGCAGCGCGUUUUACACUGAAUUCUGGAAGCUUCUAGUUGAAAGAGAAGAUUUAUUCAAGAAUUUUGUGUAAAAUGUCGGCGAGCGGCGGACGGCUGAGUAACGCGUGGGAACGUACCCCAAAGUGAGGGAUAACGCAUCGAAAGGUGUGCUAAUACCGCAUAUGGUCUUCGGAUUAAAGCCUUCGUGCGCUUUGGGAACGGCCUGCGUAAGAUUAGAUAGUUGGUGGGGUAAUGGCCUACCAAGUCGACGAUCUUUAACUGGUAUGAGAGGAUGAUCAGUCAGACUGGAACUGAGACACGGUCCAGACUCCUACGGGAGGCAGCAGUGAGGAAUCUUCCACAAUGGGCGAAAGCCUGAUGGAGCAACGCCGCGUGCAGGAUGAAGGCCUUCGGGUUGUAAACUGCUUUUAUAAGUGAGGAUUAUGACAGUAACUUAUGAAUAAGGAUCGGCUAACUACGUG